AUGGCCCGCACCAAGCAGACGGCGAGGAAGUCCACCGGCGGCAAGGCGCCGAGGAAGCAGCUGGCGACCAAGGCCGCCCGCAAGUCCGCCCCGGCCACCGGCGGCGUGAAGAAGCCCCACCGCUUCCGCCCCGGCACCGUCGCUCUCCGGGAGAUCCGCAAGUACCAGAAGAGCACCGAGCUGCUCAUCCGCAAGCUGCCCUUCCAGCGGCUGGUGAGGGAGAUCGCGCAGGACUUCAAGACCGAUCUCCGCUUCCAGAGCUCCGCCGUCUCCGCGCUUCAGGAGGCCGCCGAGGCCUACCUCGUGGGCCUCUUCGAGGACACCAACCUCUGCGCCAUCCACGCCAAGCGCGUCACCAUCAUGCCCAAGGACAUCCAGCUCGCCCGCCGCAUCCGUGGCGAGAGGGCCUAG
rnacentral:rRNA from 1 species